rnacentral:rRNA from 1 species
GACGAACGCUGGUGGCGUGCCUAACACAUGCAAGUCGAGCGAAGUGAGUACUACGGUACGAACUUAGCGGCGGACGGGUGAGUAACGCGUGGACAAUCUACCCUGUAGACUGGGAUAACACCUCGAAAGGGGUGCUAAUACCGGAUAAUGUCGAGAAGCGGCAUCGCUUUUCGAAGAAAGGAGAGAAUCCGCUAUAGGAGGAGUCCGCGUCCCAUUAGCUAGUUGGUGAGGGUAACGGCCCACCAAGGCGACGAUGGGUAGCCGGCCUGAGAGGGUGAACGGCCACACUGGAACAGAGACACGGUCCAGACUCCUACGGGAGGCAGCAGGUGGGAAUAUUGUGCAAUGGGGGAAACCCUGACACAGCAACGCCGCGUGAGCGAAGAAGGCCUUCGGGUUGUAAAGCUCAAUAGUAUGGGAAGAUAAUGACGGUACCAUACGAAAGCCCCGGCUAACUACGUGCCAGCCGCCGCGGUAACAC